rnacentral:lncRNA from 1 species
CCUCACUAAAUAUGUAACAUCCCAAAAUGUAAUAUAAGCUAUAUAAUAGAAUAAUCACAUAUAAUAAUAUGAUAGCUUAGUUAUCCAUAAUGUGUUAAAGUUGUUAAUAGUAUAAUUAUCCAAAAAUAACUAUAUAAUUAAAACUUUACACAAAAACCUACUCUACUACAAAACUAUGUACAAGACCGAACGGUCUGUACUACAUUGGUGGAUCUUUUCCUUCCAGAGCAUGCUCCACCGAGACCUCUUCUCCCUCUACUCACACCCGAUCAUUGCAAAAGAUAAAUCGAACGGUUAAACAUGGAAAAACGGAAAAGAAGGGUAAGCUAGUGUAAUUUAAUAGUUAUGUUAACAUACAAUUCAGACAAACAUAUAAUACAAUCAUACACAUACAUAUAUCAUAUAAUCAUUUUAUGACCGACCACUUUACUCUGACCGUCCGGACAAGUAUGAAUAUGUAGCUAUGGUCGUUCAUGCACUCGUAUGUAACUUGGAAACCCCAUCAGUUCCCAUAGGAGGUUAGCCCGUUAACCUGCCUUUGGUCAAGGUAAAACCCCUAGGCUAGGACCUCCUUUUAUUCUCAUGACAUGCUUCACCAUUCUCUAUUUGAGAAUCAAUGACCCUUAGAAUGUCAGGAUGAAAGCCAAGACUGAGCUUCCUAUAUUCAUACUUCUACCACUUUAACAACCAAACAUAGAGACAUUCCUCCUUGGAAUUCUCUCUCAAAUCCACACUUAGGAAUCUCACACCAUACCAUAAUCUCAAUAUUAUAUCUCAUGCAUAAUACAUUUAAGCCAAUGAAAUAAACACUCAACUUACAACAUAAAUUACAAUUCUUCUACAGACAGAAUGCUCUAUGGUAAGAUCAAACCGAAAGGUAACUACUACUACUCAUGAAUAUGACUGAAUGGUCUUUCACUAAACAAGAACGGGACCGAACAGUCCAUAAUAGAUAAAGCUGAGUAAGUGGCCGAACGCUAUUUAGGACCGACCACUAGAAGAGAGACCGAACACUAUAACAUUAAAAUUCUAUAGUAAGAACGAGAACCAAUGUUAGACUGAACACCCCAACGAAAUCGAAUACAAAUGUAAGAAGAAUCCUAGUAGAAGACCGAGCUCCACUAAGAGACCGAGCUCUAGUGCAAGACCGAACUGUAUGAUACUAUGACCGAUCGAUACACUAGAACGAGUAGUAAAAGAUAACCGAACGAUCAUUAACAGGUAAGACCCACAAAAGACGGAACACGAUUAAGACCAAAUCACCAAAUACAAAUUGAGUACAAGUGUAAGGUUUGGAACUUAAACUAUACUGGAUACUUUAUCUAGGCCGAAUAUUAGGUGAAGGCCGAAAGUUAUAACUAGACCGAACACUACAUUCAACUGAAUACUAAUGCCAGACCGAUCAAUCAUUAACUGAAGCUCUACAGGAGCAGAGCUCAAUUAAGACCGAACACAAGAAGAAGACUGAGCGGUCAACAAAGAACUCUCAGCGAAACUGCAUAACUCUAUAGAAUGAUUGCAGAAUUAUAAUCCAAACCGAGUUUACAAAUUUCACUCAUUCUUCCCAACUUCUAAUACUCCAAACUUGUAUCAUACAUACCUAUAUACUUUACUAAGAACAUCUAAAUCUUCUUAACAUCAUUUAGAGAAUUUCAUCUCAGAUUUGAGAGUCAAUUAUGCCAAAUCUUGAACUCAAGAACCAAAAAUCAGAUUUCCUAGUUUUGGUAUAGUUUAGUGACUCAAGGGUCCUAAUAAAUACUAUACAACUUACCCAGAUUCUUCAUACAAACCACACUCAUACCUGACCUAGAUUUCUCAAUUUCACUAUCACAAUUCCUCACAAUCUACUCAGCCACUAACCCAUAAUUAUGCAGAAACAUAUUCAUCAUAAUCACAACACCUAAUUAUCCAUACCAACAUCACCAAACACCGAAUCAUUCAAUUAUACACACAUGCAAAAUCAUCAAGCAACAUUUUCAUACAUAAUACACUAAUUAGUUAAAUUAAUUAGCUUCCCUUACCUCUUUGACCAAAUAGAACAACGUUUAUCUUUUCUAGAAAUUGUUUUCACACCAACAAAUCCUAGGAACACAAUUAGUUCACCGAUGGGUGAGAAAAUACCAUCCAACAGACCAAAUGAAGUUAGAAAGGAGAAGAGAAGGUUGAAGAACAAAUGCAACCAGCAGGACUAUCUUGCACGUGACAAAUUUUCACAAAAACUCAAGAAACGAAACUUACACGUUCAAAACACAAGUUUGAUCGGUGAAAGAGGAAGUCCUUGACACCAUGAUGACUUAGGCACAAUCUGAUUGUAGAUUAGAUGAAGUGAGAUGAGAGAUUUUUAGAGAGAAGGUGGAGAAAAGAAGAGAGAAGAAGUGUUGGAGAGAUAUAAUGCAU